AAACGGACGCUGGUUACAGUGAGGAACCAUGGGAUAUGUAGGAAAUCGGAGAUCUAAAGCGUCACUAUGGAAACAGGCACUAAUCGCAACUGAGAAACAUGGGACUUGUAGGAAAUAGAUGUAUAGGCAUCAGCUGCGAUCGGCGCCGUUCCACUGGACAAUGGAUAUUUAAAUAUUCUUUUGGUUGAUGGCUCCACAUGCAUACCUUGAGGACUCCUUGAACAAGACCCCAGUGUCGGGGUGGAAACGCAUCGGAGGUGCUAGCAAAUGGCCGCCAGGAAUAGCAGCGUUUUGUGAAGCCAGAGGACUUGGAACAGCACAAAUAACAUCGAGGGUGCCCGGGACUCACCUUUCUCAUGCUGAUCUUGACCUGAAUACUUCAGUUCAUAUUCUCUGGUAAUUUCAUUUAUCACGGCUGUGUAGAUGACCUGCUGCAUAUGUAUUUUAUGUGGAGCGAAAAAAUUGUGUUUUUAAAUGGUCAUUUAUUAAAAAGUGAAAAAAUUGUACUUCACUAUAUUAUUUUUCUAUAUUACCUUUUGGGUUACCUGGUGUAAAAUCUGCCUAAGAGUGAAACAUGCCAGGACAAACAAUAUAGGACACCAUCCAGACCACAGCGGCGGAUAAGUCAUACCCAAUUUUUUUCAUUGCACAUUGUGGUGGAGGUUGGAGCAAUCGUCCUUUUUGUGGCAGUAGACAAAUUUGGCUGCAUAUUGUUAAUUAAGCGCACUUGGGUUAGCCUCACGUUCUCUUUUUUGGUAUGUUGUUAAAACAUUCUGGAACUACACAAGUUGUCAAGGACAAGUUAAAAAUAUAAGUAAAAAUCUGGACCAACUUACUGGCACACCCCUUCAGCACUUUCCCUGGAAUCCCAUCAGGACCAGGCGAUUUCCUAGUACAGACACCUAACAGACUAUUUCUAACUGCAGUCUCGGAGAGGACCAACAAGUGUUCAACCAAAUGAGCUCAAUCGUAAGGCACCUGCUUAAAAGGCAUCUUCACGCCAUCAACAGGAUGUUGCUGAUAACAUCCAAACCAGUUGCACAUCCAGUGAUAUGAUAUAAGGGUGUCUUCCCAACUUCCACAGACCACCCACCAGUGAUGUUGCACAUUGAUCCAGUUUGCAGUUGUUGUCUCUACCAAAUGUUGUUUUAGAUGUGCAGUGCACCACCAACUCUUUACCACCCACAGUUAUAAUACAGGGAAUGAUAGCCAAUAAUGUUUUUAUCAUUUUUGCACCAUUGUGGUUUUUUUAAAAACACAGAUUAAUGUGUAACAUAUUGUCAUAUGUCGUUUUAAAACUUAGAUUACUUACCUAUAAUGUUUAUGUUGUACGACCAUCACGCCCACGACCACCCAGAUUACCGGUUGUAAAGGGGAAAGAAGCAGCUGAUGACCAAGUGGUAGUGUUGACUCCCAUAAACACACUUGACAACCCAGAUGUGGGAUAUGUUGGAACCCAACAGCAGCCCCAAGCAGCAGGACCAGCCACACCUACACUACACCCCAUCUGUGGUAGAUUUUACACUGUCAUUGGACACUUUUAGGGAUGCAUGUUUGCAAUUCAUGCAUAGGCAAACAGAACAAAUCAACCGCAUCACCAAGGGAAUACCAACAUAGCCAUUUCAAACAUACAUCCAUUUUUUUCCCUUCUCAUGUAAAGGGUCCACAUAUAGAUACAUUUCAAAAGCUUGUGGAAAGAGACAUUAGAAUCCUUUCAAGAAAAGAAAAGAAAAAAAUAUAAUCUAUCCAAAGAGGGAAAACGAAGUAUUAAAGGAAUUGAAAGAAGACAAAAGUCAUAUUGAUAAAGAAAACUAUGAAAAAGAGAUAGGAAAUCUAUGUUUGGAUACAGAAACAUAUACACAAUUACAGAGUGGUCCAAUGACCAUUUACAAAAGGGAACUUGAAGAACUUCUACAAGAAGGAUUAUAUCUAGGUAUCCUUACUACAAAGGAAUAUGAAUUCAUCUAUAUCAGACAUCCAAAAAUACCUACUUUCUAUCAUCUACCCAAACUCCAUAAGGACCCAAUAAGCCCACCAGGAAGACCAGUAGUGUCUGGACUCAACUCCCUGACAUCAAAUUUGUCAAAGUACAUCAACUUUUAUUUACAGGACCAAAAAAGUUAUUUUAAGGACACUAUGAAUAUUUUACAAAUUUUAGAAACCAUAACAUGGCAGGAACACUAUAUCCUCUGUACAAGUGACGUUAGAUACACUUGCAUAGCCCACACUAUAGGAUGCGGGGCAACAAUAUUCUUUCUUUCAAAUUGUACUGAACUAUCAAAUUCACAAAUAAACUUCAUUAUGGAUUGCAUAGAAUACAUACUACAUUGAAAUUACUUUUGGAACAAUGGAAUAUUCUAUAAUCAAACAAAAGGCGUAGCUAUGGGAUCUUCAUUUGCGCCUAGCCACGCAAAUUUAUUUGUAGCUAGGUGGGAGGAAGAAUGCAUCUGGAAUAACAAUCAUUACUUGGAGGAGAAACAUAGAUGAUUUGUUUUUCAUAUGGGAAGGCCCGGAAGAACUUUUGAAAGAGUUCCUACACUAUCUGGGAAAUAAUUUUGGUUUAGAAUUUGUAUCUACCACAAGCAAGGAAAUGGUUAUAUAUUUAGAUUCAUUGAAGAUCAGAAAAUAAACACAGGGACCCACAUAAAAAAAGGUCAGUGGUAAUAACACUUUAUCCUAUAACGGCAACCAUCACAACUGGAUAAGAAAUAUUCCAGCAGGUCAGUUUAGAAGACUUCGAAGAAAUUCCUCUCAAGUUGAGACAUAUCUAAAAUAGAGUGAAAACAUGAAAGAAAAAUUCAAACAGAAAGGAUACAAUGAAAAUACUCUACAAAAAGAAAUAAACAAAAUUGCCCAUCUAGAUAGAAAGGAACUUAUAUGCUACAAACAAAAAGAUACCCAGGAUAAUUACAGCACAGCAAUAAUCACACAAUUUAAUAGUCAACAUUUAGCAUUUGUAGCAAUCAUAAACAAACAUUGUCACAUUCUGCAUUUGGAUAGCAAACUAAAACCAUUUAUAACAAACAAACCUCAGAUAAUAUAUAAGAAAGCUCAGAAUCUGAAAACAACAUCUAGUGAAAAGUUACAUUACACCAGUAAUGUAAAAAUUAAAAGAAAAUAAAUGGCAACUAUUAUUGCUUAAAAUUUAUCGCUUGUAGAACAAUUAAACAAACAUCGACACAGCCAGUGAAAGAAUUUGAAUCGAGAGUAACAAAAAAGAAAUACAUGGUAAAAGAAAAGAUCAUGUGUGACACUGAAGGUAUAAUAUACAUGUUGGAGUGCCCGUGGGGGAAACCAGUAUAUUGGCCAAACGAAAAGAAAAUUAAAAACAAGAAUAUUAGAGCACAUUCUAAACAUAAAUGGUCUGGAAACACACAGUGUUUCAAAACACUAUCUGGAAUACCAUAACAAAAAUCCAUCCAACCUUAAGUUUAUGGGUAUACAAAAGGUAAUGAAAAAUUGGAGAGGAGGAGACAUAACGCAAGAAUUAGAAAAGAAUGAAUAUGUUGGAUUUACUUUAUGAAUACAAUAAGCCCUAGUGGGCAGAACAUUGAUAUAGAA